AAUGGUACCGCUAAAAACUUCAGAUCACAGCGCUAAAAAAUGAGCCCUCAUAUCGCCCCAUAUGCGGAAAAAUAAAAAAGUUAUAGGGGUCAGAAUAUGACAAUUUUAGACGUAUACAUUUUCCUGCAUGUAGUUAUGAUUUUUUCUAGUAGUACGACCAAAUCAAACCUAUAUAAGUAGGGUAUCAUUUUAAUCGUAUGGACCUACAGAAUAAAGAUAAGGUGUCAUUUUUACCGAAAAAUGGACUGUGUUUUUUUCAAUUUUGUCUCACAAUGAUUUUGUUUUCCGUUUCACCAUAGAUUUUGGGGUAAAAUGACUGACUUCAUUACAAAGUAGAAUUGGUGGCGCAAAAAAUAAGCCCUCAUAUGGAUUUUCAGGUGCAAAAUUUAAAGAGUUAUGGCUUUUUAAAGAAUGAUGUCAUCACAUUGCUGUGUGAAGAGAGAAGCUGGUUAAAGAGAGUUUUAAAAGCCAGGAGAUUGAAAGCAGGAGUUUGAGAUCCCUCUAUUCUGCUAUUCAAAUCAAUCCUCAGGCUUUAACUGAUACUUGAAGAAGAAGGAUAUCAUUUUAAAAAAGACAUAUCAUAUGUGUGGAUGAGUGAGGCCAGGAGCCGAGACCCUACAACUGAUCACUAAAAUGAAGGGCUGGAACGCUCAGCUGUGACUCUUCAUACUUGGCUUAUAA